UACGGAGGAUCCAAGCGUUAUCCGGAUUUAUUGGGUUUAAAGGGUGCGUAGGCGGCCUGUUAAGUCAGGGGUGAAAGACGGUAGCUCAACUAUCGCAGUGCCCUUGAUACUGAUGGGCUUGAAUGGACUAGAGGUAGGCGGAAUGAGACAAGUAGCGGUGAAAUGCAUAGAUAUGUCUCAGAACACCGAUUGCGAAGGCAGCUUACUAUGGUCUUAUUGACGCUGAGGCACGAAAGCGUGGGGAUCAAACAGG
rnacentral:rRNA from 2 species